rnacentral:ncRNA from 1 species
CACCUCAUGUCUUGCAAUGUCCGGUGCCCCCUCGACAACCAUUGAAAAAUUGGAGGACUGAGUACCGUCCAUGCCUAGUCGUACUCAUAACUGCAUCAGGUCUUCAAGGUGAACAACCUCUAGUCAUUAGAACAAUAUAGGUAAUGGAAGUCAUCAAAAUAGAUACGUAACUUCAUGAAAAGUAUUGGCUCUGAGGGCUAGGCCUAGGGGUAUGUGUAUUCAACUCAUGGGAAGUCAAAAGUCUUCCCAAGAUUCUCUCACAAUGAGGACAAGAUGUCACUAACCAAUUGGGAUACAGACAUAGAAUGUCCCCUCAUGGGGGAUUUUCCGUAGGCAAUGAAAAUUUGACUCAGAACUAGUACGAAGAAGGGGAAUCUGACAGUUUAAUUAAAACAAAGCAUUGUGAUGGUCCUUACAGAUGCUGAUGCAAUCUAAUUUCUAGCCAGUGCUCUGUAUUUCAAAGUGAAUAAAUUCAACCAAGCGCAGGUAAACGACGAGAGUAACUAUGACUCUAUUAAGGUAUCCAAAUUUCUCUUCAUCUAAUUACUGACAUGCAUGAAUGGAUUAACGAGAUUCAAAAUGUCCCUAUAUACUAUCUAGCGAAACCACAACCAAGGGAACAGGCUUGGAAGA